CCCACUGAGUUUAAGCAUAUAAAUAAGUGAAGGAGAAGAAACUUAUGAGGAUUCCCCUAGUAACGGCGAGUGAACCGGGAGAUGCCUAGCUUGAGAAUCGGGCGGUCACACCAUCUGAAUUGUAGUCUAGAGAGGCGUCCUCAGCGACGGACCGGGCCCAAGUCCCUUGGAAAGGGGCGCCCGGUAGGGUGAGAGCCCCAUCUGGCCCGGACCCUGUCGCCCCACGAGGCGCCGUCAACGAGUCGGGUUGUUUGGGAAUGCAGCCCAAAUCGGGCGGUAAACUCUGUCCAAGGCUAAAUACAGGCGAGAGACCGAUAGCGAACAAGUACCGCGAGGGAAAGAUGAAAAGGACUUUGAAAAGAGAGUCAAAGAGUGCUUGAAAUUACCGGGAGGGAAGUGGAUGGGGGCCGACGAAGCGCCCCGGCCAUAUGCGAAACGGCUUCGGCUGGUCCACCAAUCGGCUCGGGGCGUGGACUAUUGUCGGCCACGCCAGCGGCCAAAGCCCAGGGGCCUCGUGCCCCCGGUAGCCG
rnacentral:ncRNA from 1 species